GCUGAGCACGGUGGCCUGUGCCUGUAGUCCCAGCUACUCGGGAGGCUGAGGUGGGAGGAUCGCUUGAGCCCAGGAGUUAUGUGCUGUAGUGCGCUAUGCAAAUCAGGUUUCCGCACUAAGUUCGGCAUCAAUAUGGUGACCUCCUGGGAGCGGGAGACCACCAGGUUUCCUAAGGAGAGGUGAGCUGGCCCAAGUCAGAAACGGAGCAGGUCAAAACUCCCAUGCUGAUCGGUAGUGGGAUCGCGCCUGUGAAUAGCCACUGCAAUCCAGCCUGGGCAACAUAUCAAGACCCCGCCCA
rnacentral:SRP_RNA from 1 species